rnacentral:rRNA from 1 species
GAUUGAACGCUGGCGGCAGGCCUAACACAUGCAAGUCGAGCGGCAGCGGAAAGUAGCUUGCUACUUUGCCGGCGAGCGGCGGACGGGUGAGUAAUGUCUGGGAAACUGCCUGAUGGAGGGGGAUAACUACUGGAAACGGUAGCUAAUACCGCAUAACGUCGCAAGACCAAAGAGGGGGACCUUCGGGCCUCUUGCCAUCAGAUGUGCCCAGAUGGGAUUAGCUAGUAGGUGGGGUAACGGCUCACCUAGGCGACGAUCCCUAGCUGGUCUGAGAGGAUGACCAGCCACACUGGAACUGAGACACGGUCCAGACUCCUACGGGAGGCAGCAGUGGGGAAUAUUGCACAAUGGGCGCAAGCCUGAUGCAGCCAUGCCGCGUGUAUGAAGAAGGCCUUCGGGUUGUAAAGUACUUUCAGCGGGGAGGAAGGCGYUGAGGUUAAUAACCUCAGCGAUUGACGUUACCCGCAGAAGAAGCACC